UUCCCGAAGAAUUAUUAUCUUGUAAGCAAACACAUUGAAAAUCCACAGUAAUUUUUCGAUCUAGUACAAAAUACGAAAUAAUAAUAUAGUGUUGUCUUGAAUAUACACGAUUUGAGAUUGAUCGUACUGGACAUUAAGAUGUAUAGAUUCCAGUAUCCCUGGUACCGUGAAAAAGGAAGUGUUCAAAAUCCAAUUCAAGCAUAGAGUUUUCUAGUUAAAUUUAUUUGUAUGGUUACUACACGUUAGAUUAAUAAAUGUUAUAUAUGUAUGCACAACAUUGUAUCCAUUGUGCAUGUUGUAUGUUGAAGAUACGAUGUGUAGAUUCCAGUAUCCCUGUUAUCGUGAAAAAGGAAAUGUAAAAAAUCCCAAUCAAGCAUAACCUUUUUCUUUGUUACAACACGUUAUCUUAAUAAAUGUCAUAAAUAUGUAUGCACAAUAUUUUAUCCAUUGUGCAUGUUGUAUGUCAAACAAUUAUCAACCGGG
rnacentral:lncRNA from 1 species